rnacentral:rRNA from 1 species
CCUACGGGGAGCAGCAGUGAGGAAUAUUGGUCAAUGGGCGCGAUCCUGAACCAGCCAAGCAGCGUGAAGGAUGACUGCCCUACGGGUUGUAAACUUCUUUUGUCGAAGAAUAAAAUGCGGCACGUGUCCCUUUUUGUGUGUAUUUUAUGAAUAAGGAUCGGCUAACUCCGUGCCAGCAGCCGCGGUAAUACGGAGGAUCCGAGCGUUAUCCGGAUUUAUUGGGUUUAAAGGGUGCGUAGGCGGUGAGUUAAGUCAGCGGUGAAAUGCCCCCGCUCAACGGGGUGAAGUGCGAUUGAUACGGCCUUGCUGGAAUGCGGAUGCGGUGGGAGGAAUGUGUGGUGUAGCGGUGAAAUGCAUAGAUAUCACACAGAACACCGAUUGCGAAGGCAUCUCACGAAUCCGCGAUUGACGCUGAUGCACGAAAGCGUGGGUAUCAAACAGGAGUAGAUACCCGAGUAGUC